AAUGCCUUCUGUGGCACAGGCUCGAAUCCUUUCUGGUACAGCAGGCACAAAUCCUUCCCAGCGCGUGCAUCUGCAACAGCGUCGAACCAGUGUC
rnacentral:rRNA from 12 species